UACGAAGGGGGCUAGCGUUGUUCGGAAUUACUGGGCGUAAAGGGCGCGUAGGCGGCCCUGUCAGUCGGGUGUGAAAGCCCGGGGCUCAACCCCGGAACGGCACCCGAGACGGCAGGGCUGGAGACCGGGAGAGGAGGGUGGAAUAGCCAGUGUAGAGGUGAAAUUCGUAGAUAUUGGCUGGAACACCGGUGGCGAAAGCGGCUCACUGGACGGGUACUGACGCUGAGGCACGAAAGCGUGGGGAGCAAACAGG
rnacentral:rRNA from 1 species